CUCACCCACUGAACACAUGCUUAGACUCACAGCUGAGACAAAGUGUCGGAAGACAAUAAGACCAAUGUGCACGCUCCCUCUGCAGUGGACAGGGACAACUCAGGACACGGGACUCUGGGUGAAAACUGAACCUCUCUGAACCGAUGAAAGCAGACAAUCAGCACUGAUAUGGCUGUACACGUCCCUGAUGGCUGUAUGGAGUGCUGCUGACUGGAAGCUGGAUGAACCUUCAUGAAGAGGAAGGAUAAAAUCACUGCGAAAGGCAAGAUCGCUUUCAUAAAGUUAGAAGACAAAAAACCAGAUGGAUAACUCUUCUUUACCUUCAAUUCAAACGUUGAGAAUAGUCCAAUACAGAGCUGGUAUUAAAGGGGACAUAUUAUGAGAAUUCCACUUUUGUAUUGCUUCUACACGUUAAUUUUGGUAUCUGGCAUGUCUACCGACCCAAAAACUAUGGAAAAAAA